AACAGAAUAAUAAAUGGAUUGCUAAUCCAUUGGGGUUUCCCCGUGUGGGUUCAAAUCCCAUCUCUGUCG
rnacentral:tRNA from 1 species